ACAUACGACCAUAGGGUGUGGAGAACAGGGCUUCCCGUCCGCUCAGCCGUACUUAAGCCACACGCCGGAAGGUUAGUAGUUGGGUGGGUGACCACCAGC
rnacentral:rRNA from 1 species